CUUUGGAGCAUAAGUUAAAUGGUUUAAAGUAAGCCUGUAACAUACCUGCAAAACACCUUCCUAACUCAUACAUGCAAAGUACUUCUCAUCACUCUAACUUCUAAGUUACCCUGCUCCAGAAGUGACUACUCUAAACUAAGGCUUACUGUGGUCCAAAGAGAAGGAAGAAAAAAAAAAAGUAACCAGGACCAAUAGCUAGAUAUAUUAAAAAAAGAUGGCACAGCAGAAGGGAAUGCAAUCCUACAAGCGCAAGCCCUCAAGAAGCAGCAUGUUAUAUGAUAAACCCCUUCUUUAGAAAGGUGUCAUUUCUAUCACUGAUACCACAGGCUAAAUUAUAUAGCAUGCCAUCUUCAAGUAACAGUUGAGGCAAUAGAAUAAAUGCAGAGGCAUCACAAUGAAUCCCACUUAAUACCACUAUACAGACCAACACUUCUCUACAAAUUCGUCUGACUACCAGUUAAAUACAAUUUUAACUUCAUAGCUUAACAAUUAAGGGUCAUACACUGAAGCCAAUACAUAUACCUGGCAUUUCAGUCUAAGCUAUUCCAUGUACAUAGCUGAAAUCAAUUACAAAGUAUGGCCUAACAACUGCUAGGGGAAAUUUUUUAAAGUAGUUUUUACAAGUAUUAAACUUAUCUUGCACACUGAAGUCAUCAUACAUACAGGGCAAAGUCAGAGCUUUUAUAUUCGAGUUUAUUCUUCAUUUAACUUUUAAAACACUACUAUAAUUGAUUAUUAAAACAAACAAUAGCAAGUAGUGAGCAUGUUAUGAUUAUAGUCCUUCACUCAAUCACUACUGCAAAUAAAAUGCCAGCAGUGAGUGUUAUUCACUGGCCCCAUUAGGAGGUCUGACACUGAACACCACCCCGAGGAUGAUGUUCAUCAUCCUCAUAUGCUUCUCCAUUGUAAUGGCGCCGUCUUUCCUGAUUUGGAUCAAAGUCCACUAGUUCUACCUGGUCCAUUUCAUCAGUCUCUUCCACUUCCUUCCUUUCAGGUAGGAGUUUUUCCAGCAAAGAGAGUUUAUCCGGGGAGAGAAAGCCAUUCUCAGGAAAGUUUACCUAUAAUAAGAAAUUUCUACUUUAAGUUUAAAUGACACUUCAUCCUUAGCUCCUUAGACAAAUACCAUUGACCCAUUUUCCCCAGGAAAAAAACAUGAAACCACACAAUCUUUUGGUAAAUCUGCCAAUCCCAGGUUAGAACACAUGUUCUAAGAAGGCAUAUAUCAUCUACUAUUCUGAACUAGAGUUCAAGGUAAGGUCUUAAAAAAAAGAUCCUAAUAAAACUACAUUGUAAUGAUCACUUCUAUUCAGCAAAUACAUUUUUUAAUAGGAGAACCCAUCCUAAAACACAUUCUCAUUCCUUCUAAUGGAUAAUUUAAACAAAGCUAUUGUUACUCAAAGACAGUCCCACCCAAAGAUGUUUUUAAUAAAUGUUAAAUUUGUGGGUCUGAGGCUACUCAAAUUUAAGAUUCAGGGAAAUGGUUGGGUUACUUUAAGAACCAGAGCAUUGCAGUAUUUUGCCAAAAAUCCACACCAGCUAUCAUGCUUCUGUUGAACUUUAAGAUUCCAGUUAUAGCCUUUCAUUAGUAAAUUACCCACCUGCCACCACCCCCCAUCUUUAAAUAGCCGAUAAUGAUGCAAACAAACCAAUACCAACUUGUUAACAAAAAAUGUUCAACAUAACAAGAGUAACAUUAGAUCUAGACAAGGGAGAAUAUAAAUUUGGCUUCUGGCCAUUCAGAAACUUAACUGCUACUGGAUUUUAAUAAACUAAUCAUUCUCAAACAUUUCUACAGUACUGUAUAGCUUACCUUAAAUUCAAUGAUUAGGCGACCCUUUUCAUAUGGUCUACGAUAAAUUGGCAUGCCUUCAUUUAGCACACACUUGAUAUCUCCAUGCUUGACAAUCUGACCUAAAAACAUUGAAGCCAAAUUCCUUAAAUACAAUCACACUUUUACGAGGCAGCGAAAAUAAAGAACAGAGCAAUGUCCUAGCUCAUUGAUAGAGGUAAAUUUAUAUGAAAUGAUGCUGAUACCUUUCAUUUAUAGGUUUUCUAGGGGCUUACAAGUAGAGAGCCAAGAACGCAUGAUUUCAGCUCAAGGACAGACAAGUACUGAGCAACUUAAAUGCCACUUUCCUCCGUGGUUGUACUAGCUACAAGCAGACAAUGAAAACACUAGAAUAGAAACAGAUGCUUAUCUAGUUACUGUACCUGGAUGAGAAGUGAUGACUAUGGUUCGGUUGUCAAGAGUAGAUAUUGGCUUUUGGAAGCCACACAAUGCCUCAACCAGCUGUAUGUCCAUACACAUGAAAAGGUCUUCUCCUCGUCUGUACAAUGUACGAAGUGGAUUUAUUUAGAGAGAAACAUACUCCAGAGUGUGGGCCAUCUCAGAAGGUGAGGAAGGCCUCUUCCCCAUUCUUAAGAGCUGAGAACUGGGUACAGCAAACAUAUGGAAACUGCCAGCACAGUUUCCUGGACAAGGCUUCAGAAUCCCUCCACACACUCUAGGCAGUGGAACAAACCUCAGGCUGGGUCCUGGAUAAGUUAGGGUCUAUGAAAUUAAAUAAAAGGCAUAUGGCCAAUUUCAA